ensembl:lncRNA
GCUCUAUUUUUAAUUUCCUGAGGAAUCUCCACACUGUUUUCCAUAGUGGCUGCACCAGUUUGCAUUCCCACCAACAGUGUAAGAGGGUUCUCCUUUCUCUGCAACCUCACCAGCAUCUAUUGUUUCCUGAUUUGUUAAUUUUAGACAUUCUGACUGGUUAACACAGAAAUAAUUUAAAAAUUGCUUUUGUUAUAGUUCUUUAAGGUAUAUCUCCCCUGACAGAAAAACAGGAGCUUUACCAGGGAAGGAACUGUGGCUCUCUUACUCAUUGAAUGAAGAUUAUAGAGAACAACAUAGAUUCCAAUUGAAAGGAAUUUUUCAAGACAUUAAACUCAAACCAAAGACAUACCGUUAUUUGUACAAGAUAAGGAGUGUGUCUGCCCACAUCUACAACAGCCAGAAGGAAAAAGAUAUGUUCUGUUUCUCACCAGAGUCCCUUCAAUGAGAUGUCAAUCAAACUUAACACAAACAAGAAAAAGCCUGCUGAGUUCGGGACCACUCAGGACGGAUCUGGACCUUCCUCCCCCUGGUGGCCAACAGGACAUACUUCAGGAUCCUUCCUUCAGCGACUUGGUUUGCAAAACUGGUUUGGCUGAGAGA